rnacentral:lncRNA from 1 species
CUAAAAAAUACAUGAAAUAACAUAAAUUCCUGUUCCAGAUCAGCUGUGUGUUUAUUGAUUGUUUGAUAUUGUUGUAAUUGCUGUUCUUCAACACAAUUCCAGUUAGUUCAAGAUUUGCUAAAAAAUACAUGAAAUAACAUAAAUUCCUGUUCCAGAUCAGCUGUGUGUUUAUUGAUUGUUUGAUAUUGUUGUAGUUGCUGUUCUUCAACACAAUUACAGUUAGUUCAAGAUUUGCUAAAAAAUACAUGAAAUAACAUAAAUUCCUGUUCCAGAUCAGCUGUGCUGAGAGUACCUUUAGUAUGAAGGAAGUUCAAAACAGAACAGGUUUCUUUGCCAUUAGUGACUUCGACUAACCCUCCAUUAAUCGUGUUCAACGGGAUUGCAAGUUUUCCCAUUUUAGUUUGUUUAACAUACCAGUAACAGCUCCUGGUGAUCUAUCAUUAUAGUAAUUAAACACAUAUCUUGCUGCCUUGAAUUGUAUCUGCUCAAUUUGGUUGUUUAAGGUUUGUUUGUAUGGAUCCCAAACUGAUGAGGAGUACUCGACGGUCGGACGCACAAGUAAUGUGUACGUAAGGUUUUUAACCUUGUGUGUACAGUUUUUCAUGUUUCUGCGUAGAAAGUUUAGUGUUUUAUUAGCCUUUGAAGUUAUAUUAUUAAUAUGGGCCCCAAGUCAAGAUCAUUGCUUAUUGAAACUCUUAGAUACGUACUG